CUAAUAUAUUUAGGAUUUUAAUUUUAAUUAAUAUCUAAAUCUAUCUUAAUUAAUCUCUAAUAUAUUUAAAUAUUAAUCCUAAUCUAAUCAGAUUUAUCCUCUAAUUAAUAUUUAAAUCUUAAUUUAUCUCUAACAGAUUUAAAUAUUAAUUCUUAUCCAACUAGGAUUCAACUACAAAUCUAACCAAAUCCUAACAAUCUCCACCUUGGUUGGAUUUGUAAUCUUCAACCGCUACGUCAAGCUCACCAUGCAAGCUCCACCUUAAGCUUGUCUCCUCCGCUCGAUGUCGCCGCAUUCGUCGCUCCGCCUCGAGCGACUGCACCUCCACGAACUUUUGGAACCCAAAUCAUCUUCGCUCCCAUUCUGACUGUGCUCCCGUUCAGAACAUAUAAGUUCCCACGCUUGUUCGCCUCGCACACGACCCGAUCUCGCUUUCGGACUCUCAUAGCUCCAACUGAAGCCGAAUAUUGCAACCCUUCGAGUCCAACGAGCCUAACGAGAUCAAAUUUCGUCUCAAUUCAGGAACGUGUCGCACACCUGUCAGCGUCCUCACGACCCCAUCGUGCAUUCGGAUCUUCACCGUACCGAAUCCGAAAACUUUGCACACCGUCUCGUUUCCCAUUAGAGCCUUUCCACCCUUGAUCGCCUUAUAGGUGGCAAAAGACUUCUUCUGCGGGCAUACGUGAAAAGAACACGCUGAAUCGAGCACCCACGCGUCAUUCAAAAUUUUAGCACCUCCGGUCACCGCAUAUAGGACAUCAGAAUCCAUCAUCUCCAAUUCUUUCGCCUGCGCCAUCGCUGAUACUGUCUGGUCCUGGUUCACGAUAGUUUUCUCUUUCUGUCGCUUCAACUCCUUCAGAUCAUUCUGAAGUUUCUGAUAGUUGCGCUUGAUAUGCCCUUUCCUGUGGCAGUAAAAGCACUCCACCUCGGAUAGUGUCUUCUUCUGUCGAUCUCCAGUCGCUGAUGUUGUCGCCUGCUUCUUCGUUCAGACCACCAAAGCAGUAUCCUAUCUCUGCGUGCCGGACUCCUGAGUCAUCUUCCGCAUCUCGUUCGAGAGAAGCGUCGCCGUGACCGCCUCCACGCUUAUGUCUCCUUGCUAUAAAGCAACGUAGUCACCAGAUGCUCAUAUGUCAUCGAUAGCGAAGAUAAUAAAAUCAGUGCCUUGUCUUCAUCAUUCAGAUUGACUCCGAUGCUAGUCAACUGGGCCACCACCUUGUUAAACUCGUUAAGAUGCUCGUGUAGGCUCGCCGUUUCUUGCAUCCGCAGCGUAAACAGUCGCUACUUCAGAUACAAUCUGUUCGUCAGGGAUUUGGUCAUGUACAGAUCUUUUAAUUUCUUCUACAAUUUCACCGAUGUCGUCUCGCCGGCUACAUUGUAAAGAACCUCAUAUGCUCCAUCUUGUAAAGAACCUCAUCCGGCUACAUUGUAAAGAACCUUAUUGAUAGAUGAAGCGUACUCAGCGCCUUCCGCUCCAUCUUUGUUCAUGCCGCAUCCGUGACCUCCGCCGGCUUCGCCUCCUUCCCGUUCAACGUCUCAUCUAAUUCUUGUUGUACGAGGAUCGCCCGUACUUUGAUUUGCCAUAAUCCGAAAUUGUUCUUGCCGUCGAACUUCUCGAUUUCGAAUUUCGUGGCCAUCUUCGUUGAUCUCUCCCUCAGAUUGGUAACCUUCGGCUCUGAUACCAAUUGUUGGGAAUCCGGUACUCGCUCCGAUACCGGAUCUUGUGAAUCCGCAACAGAUUGUUGGGAUUCCGUAACGGAAGCAUCGAAUCGGAUUUUUACCAUAAACCCGUCUACUCAGCAGAAGCUGAUACAAUCAUAAAAGAAAAAAAUAUACAGAUAAAAUAAGAUUCAUUAAAUAAGAGAAGAUUACAGUUGACUCCUCUUCUGCAACUGAGUAGCUACAACCCGAGCCCUCUUCCUGAAUCUUUUCUACCAUUCUCUCGUCUUUUAUAAACCUAAAAGACAAUCCAUCUACGUGCACCUGUGCACUAGGUGCACUAAAUAACUCUCUCUCUCUUUUUCUCUCUCUGGUACAGCACCCAAGCUUCAGCCCUACUCCCCAACUCCAAAAGAGCCUCUAAUGCAUUAUAUAAUGCUCAAACAAGAAUGUACCCGAUCCUAGUAUAUUUAGGAUUUCAACUUUAAUUAAUAUCUAAAUCUAUCUUAAUUAAUCUCUAAUAGAUUUAAAUAUUAAUCCUAAUCUAAUCAUGUUUAUCCUCUAAUUAAUAUUUAAAUCUUAAUUUAUCUCUAACAGAUUUAAAUAUUAAUUCUUAUCCAACUAGGAUUCAACUACAAAUCUAACCAAAUCCUAACACCAUCUCCUCUAUUAAUGGGAAAGAGGAACAUUUUCCUUGGAGGGAUGUCUAAUUAAUUUUGAUUAAAAACUGUAUAGUAUUUGGCUGAAUUAAAUAAAAAAAUAAUUUUUUAAAAAAUAAUCUUGUAAAGUUAUUUGCCAAAGUUUUUUUUUUCUCGUUGUAAAUAAUAAAUUUUUUGCUAAAUUUUAUAAUUUUAAAAAUUAAAAAUUAAAAAUUAAAAUUUAAAAUUUAAAAUUUAAAUUUAAAUUUUUAACCGAUACUUGAUUUUGCAUAUCAAUACUAAAUAAGAAUUUAAAGUUAUAAUUUUGAAUUCAAAAUCUAAAUUCAAAAUUUUAAAUUUUUAAAAAUUUUAGAAUAUCAAAUUUAUAAUUUUAAAUAUAAAUUUAAAUAUAAAAUUUAUAAUUUUAAAAUUUAAAAUAUAAAUUUAUAUUUAAAAUUAGAAUCUGAUUUUAAGAAGUAGGUUUUAGCUAAUUCUAAUUUUGAAGUCUCUAAAAUCAAAAAAAUAAAUCAGAAUCCACAAAAAAGAAUACCAAAUAUUUUUUUAAAAAAAAAACCAUAACUUUCGCCCCGACAAGAGGAAAAAUUCUAGAAUGCAACAGGUAUAUUGGUGACGUGGCGUAACAAACCAAUCAAAAAUCUCCUUUUAAAGAUAUAUGUCCCAUCAUGAUUAUAAAAAAAUAUUUUUAUUGUAUUUUUGUUUGAAAAAAAAAAUAUAAUUGGCUUGUUAUUAAUGAUGUGGUGUAAGUGUGAGAGUGUAAAAUUCCUCCUGAGAGAGAGAGAGAGAGAGAGAGAGAGAGAAGAAAAAUCAUUCCUCCGACGAGAGAGAGAGAGAGAGAGAGAGAAAAAAGAAAAACCAUGAAAGAUCCGUGGAAAAUGAGAUAGGCGGGGAAAACUAUACAUGGCUAGUGACAUUCUCCGAACCCCUACUCAAUCAUCUAUCUAUCUUCUAUAUAAGAAUACAUGAAUUGUGAACCGGAAUGAUGCCAGCACACAUCCUAUUCUUUGGAUGAGUGAGCCAGCACACAUUCCUAUUCUUUGUUUUUUUUCUACCCACUUUUUGUUUUCUUUUAUCCCAUCUCUAUCCCAUCAUUUCAACCCACUGUUACUUCCUCGCUGUUUAUCCGAUCCUUCAUCUGUCACCCAUACCAUGGUACGUUCUCCCCCUUCCUCUAUGGUUCUAUCUCACUCACCCUCACUCUUUUCCCCUCUCUCAUUCAAUAAUUAAAAUAAAAUUAAAAUACAAAAUUAAAGUUAAAUUUUAAAUAAAAAUAUAAAAUAUCAUUGAGAUAUUUUUAUAAAGUGCAUUAUUUUUAUCUAGAUUCAUGCCUUUAAUCCAACUUCCUAGGUCACCUGAAAAUUGGAAUUGGCAAGUGACUCCCACGUACCAAAAAACUAACAAACGAAUUCAUUCAUUCUGGUGCUAAUCAUGAAUAAAAAUGGGGCCAAGUAAAUAUGGCUUUAAUUUAUUUAUGAGCUCUUUUUAAGGGGACAAAAAUUUCGUGGACAUCCGUGCCCAAACUAUUUGUUUGGGCACGGAUACGGAUGGGCGCCGCGUGGUGUGCGGCGCCCAUCACCACCUCCCCUUCCCCUUUCUCUCUCUCUUUCUAAAAAACGGAGGCCCCCGGAAUUUUUUUUUUUUUUUUUUUGAAAANACAACAGAACAUACACCAGUUAUGGAGUACAUAAAUAUCCGGUAGUCCCUCUAUAAUUAGGAUUAGUAUAAGAUUGAUUUAGAGUGUAUCUAUCUCUAAAUUUAUCUAAUCUUAAAUAAACAAUCUAAAUAAAGAAUAGGGUUCAUCUGAUCCUUAUAUUGUCUAUUAAUAUUUAUAAAUAAAGAAUAGGGUAUACCUAAUCUUUAUAAAAUCUAUUCAGGGUUACACCUGCUUAGGAUUGUGAAGGGUAUAAUCCAAGUACCACCCUUUGUAUAACGAGAUAGUAGCAACCUUUGUAUGGUUUCUAAAGAAUUCCUUUCUUUUUUUUUUUUUUUCUCAAUUUCUUUUGAAGUUUUUUCUACAGUCCAAAGCUUUAGAUUAUUUACUGUUUAAAACUUUGGAUGCGUUUACGUUCCUUACAAUCGCCAAACGCAAGACUCCUUGAUCCUUCGAUCAAAACCUUGGGCGUUACACCGAGAUCAGUAACUCGUCCCCUCCUAAGUUAACUCCCAGCAAACCCAAGACGUCUUGGUCCCCCGAUCAAGGUAUUGGACCGACCUAAAGUAUUAUGUUUGAUCCGCAAUUCUUUGGAUUUUACAAAUAAACGAUCGAUCUCUUAACCCAACUUUACUAAACAAAGAUUCCUGGACUUUCCUGUUAUCCAACGUAGUCCAACACGUACUAAACUUAACCCAAUUUGACCCUAAAACUAAACUAAACCCAGACUUCAAUCCAAACCCGUAACUAAACCAAUUAUACCAAAUCCAAAGGGUAUUUGAACCCGGUUAGGUCUAAUUUAUUAACCCAGUCCAAAUAUAAACCAGAAACUGUACUUGAACCCGGGUAGGCUUCUAUAUUAACCGAACCCAAGUCUAAAUCUAAAAAAAACAGGUUUGAACCCGGGUAUAUUGAGUCCAAACCCAACCCGAAUCCACACCCCAAAUCAUACUCGAGAGUAUCAAAUUUUCAUUCUAUAUCUAACCGAUAACCUAUAUCCGAACCCAGCUUUAGUCCGGGUAUAUCAAACCCAAAUCUUAGUUCGCACCCAAUCUGAAUUUGAUAUAAACCCGAGCCCGAGUUACACCCGAUCUUAUCAACUUGAAUUCCAAGUUUAACUGACACCUAGACUCGAACCCGUUCUAAAGCCGGGUACAUCAAACCUAAAUCGAAACCUAUACCCACGUCCGAGCCAAAUCCGGGUAUACCACAUCGAUUACGAAACUUUACACAAGUGUACCGAUUUCAAAUCUGAAUAUAAUAUUUCAGUCUGAAAAAAACUACGUAGUUAAAUCCAAACCCAAGUAUUCCAAUUCUAAUCCGGACAGGCCUUAACUAUAAAGCUAGAUACUUGUAAGUUAGAACUCUAAAUUUAACUUCUGAAGUUUAAAUACAAAACUACAGAAGAUUUGUAUUUAAAGUUUUAUUAUUAUUAUUAAAAGUUGAGAAUUAAAAUUAAUUAUUCAGAUAUAUGUGGAAAAAUUUCUUCAAGUUUUAUUAAAGUUUAAACCUCUAGUCCUUUUAAAACACUUCGUCGUAACCUCAAACUUCGGUUGCCUCAAAGUUUCAACUGCGUUGCCUUGUUUCUGUACUAUCCCCCCCCCCCUGUGUGAUCGAAACAGUCGUUUCCAUCGCUGACGCAAAAGAGAUAAGUAGCAUUAUUUGAACGUACAUUAAUUAAAUGUACGAGUGGCACCUCUACGUGAAUAAUCUCAUAGGAGAGAUAACUAGUGUUAAUUUAUCUUACUUACUUGAAUGUGCCUUACUCACACCUAUAUCGAAUAUACUUCCACUGUAAGCGGAGGGGUAACAUUCGUAAUCUAUGGUGAAUCUUUAUAUUGAUAAGAUGAAGAGACAACUACGACUACUAUAUAAACUCUUACCAACUGUAAAAAACGAAGGCGGUUAUCGAUUCACGUCCGCCUAUUUUGAGACGGUAACAACAGCUACAUACUUAUCCACCUUUGGCAAGAAGAGAAGGCGGCUGCCGAUUCGCGGUUCGCCUUCUAGCUACCGAAGUGUGACGGCACUAACCGUUACGCAGCAGCGAAAGCGGCUGCCGGUUCGUGACUACCUAGUUUGAGACGGUAACAACAACUACAUACCUACCCACCUCUGGCAAGAAGAGAAAGCGGCUGCCGAUUCGCGGUUCGUCUUCUAGUAGCCGAAGGUAAAAGAGGCAGCACUCACGGCUACGCGGCAAUGAAGGCGGCUGCCGAUUCGUGGCUGCCUAUUUUGAGGCGGUAACAACAGCUACAUACCUACCUACCUCUAGCAAGAAGAGAAAGCGGCUACCGAUUCGCGGUUUGCCUUCUAGUAGCCAAAGCGUAGAGGAGGCAGCACUAACGGCUACGCGACAAUGAAAACGGCUGCCGAUUCGCAACUACCUAUUUCGAGGCGGUAAUAACAACUACAUACCUACCUAUCUCCGGCAAGAAGUGAAGGCGGCUACCGAUUUGCGGUUCGCCUUCUAGUAGCUGAAGAUAGAGGAGGCAGCACCAACGACUACGCGGCAAUUAACUACAUCUAUUCUCUCCUAGAUUCAUCCCCUUCUUUUUUUAAUAUUAAGUAUAAAAAAUUACUUUAAAAAUGGACAAAACUUGUUUGAAAAGAGAGAGAAAGAAAACAAAAAGAAAAAAAAGAAAAAAAAAAAAAGAGGUUGUCAGAGAUUUUUAAGAGGGGAAAAAUAGUGCAGAAAGGGAAAUUUAUCUAAAAGAAUAAUCACCUGUACACCUUUCGAAAAAAAAAAAAAAAAACAUACACCAUCCACUCACCCACUUUUGUAGUGGAAAGGAGAUUUUUCUAUAAAAUUUUUAUUAUUAUUAUUAUUAUUUAUUUAUUUUAUUUUAUUUAUUUUAUAUCCAGGAUACAUCCCUCUAUACUAUACCGAUCACACCGGGUAUAAGAAAAUUUUUCUUCUAUCCCAUCCUAGAGUUGAUUGAAGAAAGAAAAAAAGAAAAAAGAAAAAAAACUUAACACGGGGGUAAAGAGAACUUACAUUCUCUCUCUUUCUCUUUUUUUUUUAUAAUAGCCUCGGGUGUAGAGAAAUUCUAGUUAUACCUUUAUAUAAACCGGACUCAAAUUCAAACCCGAAUCCGAGCCUUAACCUGAACUUACUUAACUUAAAUUAGGUCGAUGUAAAAUUAAGUUUUAAAAUUUCAGUUAUACAAAGAGGAAAAAAAAAUAAUGUGAGUUUGUUCCGGUAUUGAGUCACGUAGUAUAGGAAUUAACAGUGUGGGUUAUUAAAGUAUAGCCUAUCUUUAUCUCUACACUAAACCAUAUAUUCUCUGAAUCUGUUAUCAUUAUUAUUGACACGAAUUUAUAAAACGUGGCCACCAACCCGGGUUAUUAAAUAACAACAAUCAGCCAACUUAGCAAUAUAAACCAUAGGCUCGGUUAAUGGUCAGCCUUCACACACCAUGGAGAGCCGACUCGGUCCCGGACUUUCUGUUCCACUAUCCGAUACGGCCUCAGACAUACUGUUACAUUGGCCGAUACGGUCCCGGAUCUACUAUUCCGAUCGCUCUGCUCAGAAUGUAGCGGAUCACUAAAACCCGGCAUACACACUAACCUGUCUGCUCCUGCAGUCCCGGAAUUGCCCCCCUCAGACAGUGUAGGAUUAUUAAGGUAUAGCCUAUCUUUACUACUACACUAACCUAUAUAUUCUCUGAAUUUGUGAUCAUUAUUAUUGAUCCGAAUUCGUAAAACCCGGCCACUAACCUGGGUUGCUUAAUAAUAACGAUUAUCUGACUUAGUAAUGUAGUUAAGGGAUAAGUCAUAUGUAGUAUGUGUGCACGGGUGCAGGUGGUAGGUUCCUCUUGGUGUUAGACAACAAAUAAAUAGUUCUAUUAGUGUUAUUAUACAGUUGUGUAGGUUGGUUUACACCGAGUAUGAGAAUCCAUAGCAAACCAAGCCCCUAUUCGUUUUUCACCCAUAAGAUCCGGCCUAUCCAUAUUUAACUCUAUAUUCGCCCCUAAUCUAGUUAAAACGCAAACCUACUUUUAACCCAAUAAAGACCUUUAUUCUUUUUAUUGCAAAUCAAUCUAUUCUACUUUAUUCUUAAUUUCACCUAUCAAUAUUUAUUUUUUAUUGUUACAAUAGGGAAAGAAAUAUAAUCUUAAUCUUAAAAAUAUAAAAUAUAAAUAUAAAAUUUUAAAUUUUAAAAUUGAAAAUUUAAAGUUUAAAACUUUAAUUUUAAAUUUAAAUUUUAGAGUUUAAAAUUUAAGUUUUAAAUUUUAAAAUUUAAAGUUUGAAAUUUAAAUUCUAGUUUAAAUUUA
rnacentral:lncRNA from 1 species